UUACUCCUACGGGACGCAGCAGUGGGGAAUAUUGCACAAUGGAGGAAACCCUGAUGCAGCGACGCCGCGUGAGUGAAGAAGUAUUUCGGUACGUAAAGCUCUAUCAGCAGGGAAGAAAAAAAGUCCUUUGGACUUUGGACGGUACCUGACUAAGAAGCCCCGGCUAACUACGUGCCAGCAGCCGCGGUAAUACGUAGGGGGCAAGCGUUAUCCGGAUUUACUGGGUGUAAAGGGAGCGUAGACGGUUACGCAAGUCUGGAGUGAAAGGCGGGGGCCCAACCCCCGGACUGCUUUGGAAACUGAAA
rnacentral:rRNA from 1 species